rnacentral:rRNA from 1 species
GAUGAACGCUGGCGGCGUGCCUAAUACAUGCAAGUCGAGCGAACAGACGAGGAGCUUGUUCCUCUGACGUUAGCGGCGGACGGGUGAGUAACACGUGGAUAACCUACCUAUAAGACUGGGAUAACUUCGGGAAACCGGAGCUAAUACCGGAUAAUAUAUUGAACCGCAUGGUUCAAUAGUGAAAGACGGUUUUGCUGUCACUUAUAGAUGGAUCCGCGCCGCAUUAGCUAGUUGGUAAGGUAACGGCUUACCAAGGCAACGAUGCGUAGCUGACCUGAGAGGGUGAUCGGCCACACUGGAACUGAGACACGGUCCAGACUCCUACGGGAGGCAGCAGUAGGGAAUCUUCCGCAAUGGGCGAAAGCCUGACGGAGCAACGCCGCGUGAGUGAUGAAGGUCUUCGGAUCGUAAAACUCUGUUAUUAGGGAAGAACAAAUGUGUAAGUAACUAUGCACGUCUUGACGGUACCUAAUCAGAAAGCCACGGCUAACUACGUG